UCUUUAAUGGCUGUCGUCAGCUCGUGUCGAGAGAUGUUGGGUUAAGUCCCGCAACGAGCGCAACCCUUGUCCUCAGUUACCAGCACGUUAUGGUGGGCACUCUGGGGAGACUGCCGGUGACAAACCGGAGGAAGGUGGGGACGACGUCAAGUCAUCAUGGCCCUUACGGCCAGGGCUACACACGUGCUACAAUGGUGCAUACAGACGGUUGCCAAGCUGUGAAGUGGAGCUAAUCUGAGAAAGUGCAUCGUAGUCCGGAUUGGAGUCUGCAACUCGACUCCAUGAAGUCGGAAUCGCUAGUAAUCGUGAAUCACAAUGUCGCGGUGAAUCGUUCCCGGGA
rnacentral:rRNA from 1 species